CCUACGGGUGGCAGCAGUGGGGGAUAUUGCACAAUGGGGGAAACCCUGAUGCAGCGACGCCGCGUGGGUGAAGAAGCGCCUCGGCGCGUAAAGCCCUGUCAGCAGGGAAGAAAAUGACGGUAACUGAAGAAGAAGCCCCGGCUAACUACGUGCCAGCAGCCGCGGUAAUACGUAGGGGGCAAGCGUUAUCCGGAUUUACUGGGUGAAAAGGGUGCGCAGACGGUGAUGCAAGCCAGGAGUGAAAGCCCGGGGCCCAACCCCGGGACAGCUCUUGGAACUGCGUGGCUAGAGUGCAGGAGGGGCAGGUGGAAGUCCAUGUGUAGCGGUGAAAUGCGUAGAUAUCAGGAGGAACACCAGUGGCGAAGGCGGCCUGCUGGACUGCAACUGACGUUGAGGCCCGAAAGCGUGGGGAGCAAACAGGAUUAGAUACCCUUGUAGUC
rnacentral:rRNA from 1 species